rnacentral:lncRNA from 1 species
GUUUCUUCGUUUUUGUACUGCUACUUCUGCGUACACAUUUACAUACAUGUAGAGUUGAGAUGAUACGGGAUUGAUACCGAUAACAGUGACCUAGCAGCAAAGUUAUUUGCGCGUUCAUGAGAGAUUGUGUGCGUCAUCAGAAUAGUCUGUAGUCUGUACGAAGAAUAGUUAGUAGAAUAUUGACCAACGAAGUCGAUUGUCGGGUUAGUUACAGGUUAAGCAAUUGUGAUUAUGACUAUGUAAAUGUAUAACUUCCGUUAAUUAAUUAUAGACCUCGCCUUGUUGAGCAUCCUGAGCCUGUUGGGCUACCACUGCUGCCACGAAGAAAAGGACUAACACUGCCUGUACAUAUGGAAAUUAUAGAGUGAGCAAUACACGAAAGCGUACUGAAGUUUGUUUAGAUAUUACGAUAUCUUCAAGUGGAUGGUGUUGAUGGUAUAGUUUUUCCUGCACUUGGAUUUGCAGUAGUUGUCUUCUGUGAAAGCCUUUCGUACCUUAUUGAGGUAUAUAUAUUAUCUUAUAAGCAUGAAGUUAAUUUUUAUUGUACCCUGUGGUGUCAUUUUUCUUGGACUAUGGACAUUGGCCUGCCGUUAACAUCUUCAUUUUGCAACAUUAUCCAAUUAAUCUUCGACGAAUGAUCGAGAGAGCACCUUGAAGUUGAUUUGCAUCCCAAAUUGUCUGCAGUGGCAUCAUUCUUCCUGGAUUUGCAUUACUGUUUGCACUUGUUGACUUUGGCACAUUGUAAUUAAUUAAGAUCGCCGGUGGAGAAGAUAAAGAAGACCCCGUAGUUAAAAUACUUGUCUAUUUUGCAUGUUUUUUGUAGUUUAUUUUAUUUGAAUUAAUUUUUGAUUGUAGAUGUUGUUAUUGUUUUUAGUUGUAGUCGUUAUUACUGUACUAACACGUUUAGUUUUUUUUGGUAGUCAUAGUCUAACAUGUCUCUUGCUUACCUCUUCGCUUAGCUUACUGCAUAUUCUUCCUAAUUUGCU